rnacentral:lncRNA from 1 species
CCAGCGUCUAUAACUAAUAUGGUCUAGUGUAUACAACCACCUACCUCAACACAAGUCAUGUGCACUCUCACACCACAUGUAGCUAUUAUCACCAUGUGCACUCCUACACCGCACACAAUUACCAUGUCAUGAGCUCUCCCGCACUGUAUACCACCAUUACCGUCAUGUGCACUCCCACACUGCGCAUACACAAUUAUAGAUGUCAUUUGACCAUACCACAUAAAUCAUAGCACACAUAACAAUAUAUAAUUAGGAAAUUUUUUUUCAAUGCCUUCCACAUUGUUCAUUAUUUUAUACUAUAUACAUGAUUAGACAAUUCAAUUUUCAAGAAAAAUAGUAUCAAUUAUUGUACCUCUAGUUACAACAUCCAAGGUUCUUAACGUAUCACACACCUUAAUUCACAUAGCAAUUCAAUAAAAUAAUUCAUACACAUGGUUCAUUACAUUAUACAUUUUGUAAUGUAAGGAUAUCAUUCAUCAAAGGCUUGUUCCCAUGCAUAUUUUAAAAGAUUCAAAUAAGUAUAUUCAAAUAUUUCAUUCAAAGACAUAUACAUUUUUCCAAAACUUUUUUAUGCUAGUUCACUUACCUUUUAUGCUACCUCACCAAAACCAACACCAAGACCCUAAUCCAAUUUAGGUCUUGAAGCUCCAAUAGAUCCGAUAAUGAUGAACAACACAUUCAAUUCAAUUAUUUUUAAUAAAUUUAGAAUUUAUUGCUAAUAACUCUAUGAUAUAAAGUUAUUUGGGCUUAAUUUUGAUAGUAAUUUAGCUUAGUUCUUGUAACAAUACAUAGAAAUUAAUAGGUCUUAUUUAAUUAUUUUAAAUUAGUUAUUUUAGGUGAGUCAAUCUAAUCUUAGUUAAUUUUAUACUUAAUUUGGUGUUACUAUAAUUAAGAUAGGUUGUUAUUGAUUUAUUUGUGCUUUUGUAGGUGUUUGAUGAAAAAAGAAUUUUAAUGAAAGAAUGAGAGCAAUUUUGAGGUCUAGACUUUUACUGCACAUAUUUUAGUAUUUUGACCAUAACUCUCUCUACAGAAUUUUAAAUGAGAUGAUUCUUAAACCAUUGGAAAGAUAAGAGAAAACUAUACAACUUUCAUGUUUACCACUUCAUCCAAUUCGGCCUACAAGGUGGUCAAAAAUCUUGUUGAAAUUGAUAUACUGCAACAGUUCUAGAACAAUUACGAUUUCUGCUAAUUAAUUGGGCAAGACUGCAGCCCACAUAGUCUAAUGAGGAAAUCCCAAUUGGAAUUGACCUCUUUCUCCAUUCAACUUGGCCUAACUUCAAAAACCUAUAAAAAUAACCUCUCAAAACACUUUGACAAGAGAACAAAACAUCAUAUUGAUAGUUGAGAAUCAAGCCACAAAGUCAUUGUCACGACCCGAAACUCCCCAUCGAGCCCGUGACAACCGUCGCGAGGCCUCAACAAACAUUCUUCACCCCGAAUGUCGAUCGAAACCUCGCAAGACUUUCGUAUCAGCUUUCACACUUCCCCGGUGAGCAAUAGUUAUCAAAUAUCAAAAUUCGAAAGAUUACAAAUCAUUUCGAAAUCAAAACAUAACAUAUUGUUUUCUGGCUCACAGGGGCAUUUUCGUCAUUUUUGUCAAAAAUCUCGAAACUUUCUAAAAAUGUAGUAGGUAAGCAGAAAAUAUAUGUAAUGAUUUAAAAACAAAUUAAGUAUCUAAAACGUUCAUUUGAAGUGAAAAUUUGACCAUUUAAAUAUAAUAAAAAUAUUCAAUAAAAUAAACUAUUUUCUUGUAAAAUAAUUUUCAUAAAACUAUCAGUACAUAAUUCUUAUAGCAUAAAAGUUAAUUAUAUUCAUAUAUACUAUAAAGCAAAUAACCAAAGCAUAAAAUUUCUUUUACAGUGACACGUGGGCCCACAUCUAACCAAAAUGCAUCGGAAGCUGGAAACCUACAGCUUUUACCGAUUCGGGUCCAAAUGAAGGGUCCUUGUCAAAGUCAGCUAACUAUGGAAUUCCCCAAGCUUGAAAUGUGAGGAAAUAAGGGUGGUGAGAUUAUAAAAUCCCAAUGAGUAAACAAAUACCAUCUAAACUAUCUAAAGUCGAGUAAAUGGAGACAAUUGAAAUAAGUCAUCAUACUAUAAUUUCAUUACCUUUCAACUCAUUUCAACCAAAUAAAAUCAAUCCAUAUAAAUCGACUAAUCAACUUGGCUUAUGAAUUUCUUAAAACUUUGGCUCGUGCCAAAACUCAUACUCGGUGAUACCUUGCGCAGGGCAUCCAACCGAGUCCGCCAAGGCUGUUAAAAUCUUUGUUUACACUUAAAAAAUAUUUUUAGUUUGAGAAAAAUACAACCGUUCCUUGGCGUUGGUUGAGUUCCCCUUCACGUGGUGGUUUGACGUGAAGUGAACCCUAAGCUUUACCCUAGGAGAUACCCUAAGCGCCUCUCCGUUCGAGGUAAGAAUAUAAUGGAGUUUACUGUGCCCCUCUAAUAGGCUGGUCCACAGAACCCCCUCUGCAAUGAAUAAUUAAUAUAUACUCCACCAAUCAAUAAAAUUCAUUCUAGCAUGACAUGGCAAUUUAUCGCAACCUAGCCUCUCAAGGUUGAAUACUCAGUACAAAUAAUUCUAACACCAAAAUCAGUUUAGCCAUUCAUGUCAUAUAUUGUCAUAAGCCAUUCAAUUUAAAACCAUAAAUUUACAACACAAGCAGGCAGUCUCCAAUUACUCUAUUUUCAAAACCAGUAUUCGAUUUUUCAAGCAAAUUCAUAAAAUCAUUUUAUAAAAUCGUAAUUUCUCCUAAAACAUAACAAUUUACCAUUUAAACCCAUUUUCCAUAAAAUCACACAAUUGUAUAAAACUACUCUAGAUAAUUAAGACGAUAAUAAGUUCACUCACAGUUCUAGGAGUCGAUGUACUCCUAAUCCCAGUCUCCAAGCACAAUCUCUGUACUUUUACCAAUGUACUUUGCUCACCACCUAUCCAUAAUGUACAAUACAUAAUUCACCACAUCAAUGCUUGACCAUUAUAAAAUCAAUUCAGACUCGGUAUAUAUGCAUGAUAUGAUAUACAACUUAUCCGACUACCGCUUAAAUGCGGUGCUGACCUAAUUUGGCCUAUUAUCUCCAAUUUAACUCCAAAUCAAUUCUUCUCACUUUCUACACUCCAAUUAUACUUAAAUUGCCUUAGUGAUUGUGAAUGAGAUUCAAUUUAUCAGUCUCAAUAGCAAAUUACGAAAAUACCCCUGGUGGGUAAAAAUUCAUAUUUUUGCUUCGAAAAUUCCCAUUAUUUUUCUAGGCUCAUAAUUCAUCAUUAUUCAUCAUAAUUCCUCAAAUAAACAUCAAGAUCAGCAGCCAAUAUUUCCCUAAAAAUUUUGACAAAUAAUGGUAAUGGAGGAAAAUAAAUUCUUUUCUUGUUCUUUUGUUCCUAAAUAUGCUAAACUAACUAAAAACACUAACAUAGUCUAAAAUCAAAUUAUUCCAACAACAAUUCCUCUUCCAUACCCAUUUUUCAGAAUUGAAUUCAUCAUGAUAACUCAAUAUUCAACCAUGAAAAUCAAGAACAAAAGUAUGGGUAAGCUAGGUAUCAAGGAGAAUUAAAGAAAUUCUAACUUACCUAGCUUGUUUCCUUGAUUUCUUCACUUUUUCUUUAAAAUUCCACCUAGGUUUUCUUGUUUUUCCCUUUGUUCUUCCUUUGUUCUUGUUGCUGGUUGCCUAGGCCGAAUAUGAUGAGAGAAUUGGGGAUUUCAUGGGCUGAUUUCUAUAGAAAAUAAUAAAAUAAUCAAGCAUGCCACGUGUCACAUACUUAUUGGCCCAAUUUUUUAACUUUUUGACUUUUUCUUCUUAAUUUUCUACCACAAAUAUUUUGGUAUUUAUCCAAUCCUACCACAAUUAAAAUCCCUUGGUCUUGACAAGUGCUGGGGCGAAACAUUUACCAAUUUUGUCACGACUUGGUACUCCCCUCGAGCCCGUGACAACCGCCACGGUGUCCCGGUAGACACUCAUUGCUCGGAAUGUCAACCCGAAACCCUGCAAGACUUUACUAUCAGUUUCUCUAUUCCCUUGUGAGCAACCAUUAUCAAAUAUCGUGUUCUAAAAGAUUUUAAGCCAUUUCCAACUUAAAACAAAUAAAAUAUUAAUUUUCGUCUCACAGGAAUAUUUUGGUCAUUUUUCUCAAAAACUUUGAAACUGGCUAAAAUGUAACAUACAAGUACAAAAGACAUAUUUCAUAAUCAAAAUGAGUUUAAAAGUCUAAAAUCUUCAUUUAAAACGAAAUUACGGUUAUUUGAAUAUAAUAAGAAAAUAAAAAAAAUAUUAAGUAAAAUAUUCUAUUUUCUUAUAAAACAAUAUUUACAGAGUUAUACGUGAAUAAUUUUUAUAGCGUAAAAGCUAAAUAAAUUUAUACAUACUGAAAUACAGUAAGCCAAAAUGUUUAAUUUAAUUUACAAUAACAAGAGGGCCCCCGAAUAAACAAAAGUAAAGAGGACUAUGAACCUACGGUUUGGAAAAUGCAGAUCCAACGGUAGUCCUCGAUGAGAUCAGCUAUCUACAGCCUAUACUG